rnacentral:rRNA from 1 species
AUUACCGCGGCUGCUGGCACGAAGUUAGCCGGUGCUUUCUCUAAUGGUACUAUCAUCCCUUGCCUGUAUUAGAAGCAAGGAUUUUAUCCCACUUAACAGGAGUUUACAACCCGAAGGCCGUCAUCCUCCACGCGGCGUCGCUGCAUCAGGCUUUCGCCCAUUGUGCAAUAUUCCUGACUGCUGCCUCCCGUAGG